rnacentral:rRNA from 1 species
ACGCUCGACACCUACGGGAAGCAGCAGUGGGGAAUAUUGCACAAUGGGGGAAACCCUGAUGCAGCGACGCCGCGUGGAGGAAGAAGGUCUUCGGAUUGUAAACUCCUGUUGUUGGGGAAAAAGAGGAUGGUACCCAACAAGGAAGUGACGGCUAACUACGUGGCAGCAGCCGCGGUAAUCUGAGCGGGCUGGCAAGGC